rnacentral:piRNA from 1 species
GUUGCCAGUCACGCCCAAAUCUUGA